UGUUGCUGUGCAGUGGAGCCUCUCGGCGUGCAGAGCUCGCAGGAAGAAGCAGCGAUCUGCAGCCCGCAGAGCCGCCAGUGUCCUGCAACAAAUGAUGGAAGCCAUCAAGAAGCGCCGUGCGCCGCGGAAGCCUUUUUAUUCAGGGUGUAGAAUUACAUUAUUCUGCUUUCCGAGGGUUCAGUCCUUGACUCUUCGCCUCCCUCAGGGGAAAACCUGGCGCCUCCUGCCCGUAUCAGACGACUCGAAACGGGAGAGAGGAGAGGAGGAGGAGGAGGAAGAGGAGGAGGUGGGGGGGAGAAAGAACUGAAAAAAUAGAGAGCAGAACGCGCUGAAAUACAGCCUUGGAGCUGGAUGGAUGGAUGGAGGAUUUUCUAAACGUCACACAGAAAGGAGAAAAGUAGCUGAGGGGACUGAUUUCACACCAAACAACUUCCUGCUUUGGUGGUCAACAGAAAUAAACUAUUCAACUCCAGAUGGACGACAUGUCUAAAGAAGUGCAGCUUUGAUUAUCAAUCCAUUGUGUUUACCAGACACUGUGUGUAAAGAAUAAUCGAUUUGCAACAGUGGAAUUCCUGAGAAAAAUAAACCAGCAAAAUGUGUAAUUUUUCUAGGAAAAAGUGUUUUUUGAUAAUCACUUUCAGUCCGUAAUGAUGAUAAUCUCCAGUUUCAUUAACUCCACAGAUGUUAUGUACUAGAAAAACAAAGCUGUGGUCUUAAGCAGGAUGGGAGCCACUCAGUAUGAUGAUUUCAUUGUAUCCAUGAUUAGCCUGGGAAAAAACAAGCAAAUGCAGUUAACACUGGGGUAUUUUUUCCCCCUUAUUCGCUCGCUGCAAAGUAUAUGCAUCGGUAAAGGAUCAUAUUCUCUUAAUUAGAGCAACAGUUUUCAAGACAGGAUAAAAGAAACGUCUUCCUACAGGAAUAAAAAGAACAAAAGACCCAGCUGAACAUUCAAAGCUCAUAAUCUUAACAAAAAAAAAAAAAUGAAAGAUGUUUUUGGUGUCCUGGGUUGAACAUAAUAAAGCACUCUUAUUCAGUCAGUCCUUGUUUAUGUUUUGGAAAUCAAGUAAUGAGUUUAAAAGGCUACAUUUAUUUGCAACGGACCUAUAUAAAUUACUUUUUCACCGGGAUUAAACCGUUCUGAGGAAGAAUGAACAAUGUACAGUGUGUGUGUGUUUACCCAGCACCGAGGAAAAGAUGGCACAUUAGGCCGGAGGGCACAUCAUUAUUAGAGAGCCCGUCUCCCCUCCCUUUCUUUCCAUUUCUA